rnacentral:rRNA from 1 species
CCUACGGGUGGCAGCAGUGGGGAAUAUUGGACAAUGGGCGAAAGCCUGAUCCAGCCAUGCCGCGUGUGUGAAGAAGGCCUUCGGGUUGUAAAGCACUUUCAGUGGGGAAGAAAGCCUUGGGGCUAAUACCCUCGAGGAAGGACAUCACCCACAGAAGAAGCACCGGCUAACUCCGUGCCAGCAGCCGCGGUAAUACGGAGGGUGCGAGCGUUAAUCGGAAUUACUGGGCGUAAAGCGCGCGUAGGUGGUCUGAUAAGCCGGUUGUGAAAGCCCCGGGCUCAACCUGGGAACGGCAUCCGGAACUGUCCGGCUAGAGUGCAGGAGAGGGAGGUAGAAUUCCCGGUGUAGCGGUGAAAUGCGUAGAGAUCGGGAGGAAUACCAGUGGCGAAGGCGGCCUUCUGGACUGACACUGACGCUGAGGUGCGAAAGCGUGGGUAGCAAACAGGAUUAGAUACCCGAGUAGUC